rnacentral:rRNA from 1 species
UACAGAGGUCCCGAGCGUUGUUCGGAUUCAUUGGGCGUAAAGGGUGCGUAGGCGGCUUCCUAAGUUUGAUGUGAAAUCCUGGGGCUCAACCCUGGAACUGCAUUGAAUACUGGGAGGCUAGAGUACUGGAGAGGAAACUGGAAUUUACGGUGUAGCAGUGAAAUGCGUAGAGAUCGUAAGGAAGACCAGUGGCGAAGGCGAGUUUCUGGACAGUUACUGACGCUGAGGCACGAAGGCCAGGGGAGCGAAUGGG